rnacentral:rRNA from 1 species
AGCGAACGCUGGCGGUAGGCCUAACACAUGCAAGUCGAACGAACCUUUCGGGGUUAGUGGCGGACGGGUGAGUAACACGUGGGAACGUGCCUUUAGGUUCGGAAUAACUCAGGGAAACUUGUGCUAAAACCGAAUGUGCCCUUCGGGGGAAAGAUUUAUCGCCUUUAGAGCGGCCCGCGUCUGAUUAGCUAGUUGGUUGAGGUAAUGGCUCACCAAGGCGACGAUCAGUAGCUGGUCUGAGAGGAUGAUCAGCCACAUUGGGACUGAGACACGGCCCAAACUCCUACGGGAGGCAGCAGUGGGGAAUCUUGCGCAAUGGGCGAAAGCCUGACGCAGCCAUGCCGCGUGAAUGAUGAAGGUCUUAGGAUUGUAAAAUUCUUUCACCGGGGACGAUAAUGACGGUACCCGGAGAAGAAGCCCCGGCUAACUUCGUG